rnacentral:rRNA from 1 species
AGCAGUCGCCGCGGUAAUGCGAAGGGUGCAAGCGUUAAUCGGAAUUACUGGGCGUAAAGCGUGCGUAGGCGGGUUUUUAAGUCAGAGGUGAAAUCCUGGAGCUCAACUCCAGAACUGCCUUUGAUACUGAAAGUCUUGAGUAUGGGAGAGGUGAGUGGAACUGCGAGUGUAGAGGUGAAAUUCGUAGAUAUUCGCAAGAACACCAGUGGCGAAGGCGGCUCACUGGCCCAUUACUGACGCUGAGGCACGAAAGCGUGGGGAGCAAACAGGAUUAGAUACCCGGGUAGUCCCUGUCUCUUAUAU